GACGUAGGGCGCGAGCGUUGUCCGGAUUUAUUGGGCGUAAAGAGCUCGUAGGCGGCUUGUCGCGUCGACCGUGAAAACUUGGGGCUCAACCCCAAGCCUGCGGUCGAUACGGGCAGGCUCGAGUUCGGUAGGGGAGACUGGAAUUCCUGGUGUAGCGGUGAAAUGCGCAGAUAUCGGGAAGAACACCCGUGGCGAAGGCGGUUCUCUGGGACGGUACUGACGCUGAGACGCGAAAGCGUGGGGAGCGAACAGG
rnacentral:rRNA from 1 species